UAAUUGAAAUACUCGACUCAUAGAUUAAGCCAUGCAAGGCAAGAGACUCUAAGCUUGCUUAGGUGUCAUCACACAACAACUCCAUAUAUGCCAUCCUCAUGCAAGUAGCAUCCAUGAUAACAUGGGAAAGGGAGAGCUUGAGUAAAUCUCGGGCUAAUACCAAUAGAAAGAACACGCAAUGCUACGUACCGGACUGACCAUCCGAAGGCUCUUGCAGGGUUGGUCCUAUCAGCUAGUUGGUAAGGUAAAGGCUUACCAAGGCAAUGACGGGUAACGGGCGGUAUAUGUCGAACUGCCGGAGUGGGCGCCUUAGAAACAGCGACUAUGUUCAUGGAUAGCAGCAGGCGCGAAAAUUACACACUUAAGGAUACUUGGAUGUGGUGACGAGGUAUAAACCCAACUACAUGUAGUGGUUAAAGAUAGAUACCCAGAUGGGGUCUAGAAAGGAGUGGAGGGCCAGUCUGGUGCCAGCAGCUGCGGUAAUACCAGCUCCACGAGUAUAUUAUAAUAUGUUGCAGUUGUUACGCUCGAAGCUUAUGUCGAAAACCCUGAGGGAGCAUGCUCCAUCACCGUGAGUAAACAUGGGUGCUUUGGAUGAAACCAGCUUGCUGGAAGACUCCUUUGCACUACGGGGGUUCAUUGUCUUCGGACCUUGGACUCACCUUGAUCAUAAUAGACGUAGAUCAUAUAGCAGGGCGAGCGGUGAAAUGUGUUGACCCUUGUUAGAUGACCAGAGGCGAAAGCGGUCUACGAUGUUAUUGAUGUCGGCACAGGGCGGUGCUUGGGUAAGAGAACCGGAUCAGAGACCCGGGUAUCCCCAUAGCGCAAAAUGUGACAACUUUGUUGGGUCUUUGGGCCUGGCUUAGUUGGAAACGUAGAUCUUGGCCUCCGGGGGGACUACGUCUGCAAGGUUGAAACUUAAGGGAAUUGACGGAAGGUCACACAAGGAGUGGAGCCUGUGGCUCAAUUUGAAUCAACACGGGGAACCCUACCAGGGUAAGAGGUAUUAAUGACUGAUUAGAUAUAAGACUGCACUGGAUAGUGCUAGUGGUGGUGCAUGGCCGUUGUUGGUGCAUGGGUUGGCUUAUCUAUUUAAUUAUGAUAAUGAGCGAGACCAAGGCCCCAUGUUCGCAAGGGCAUAGGGGGAUUCCUAUCUAUAUGGUAGUGUGAAAGCUUGGCAAUAACAGGUCCGUGAUGUCCUUUAGAUGUCUUGGGUUGCACGCGUGCGACAAUAGUGAUACAUAGAUGAAGAAUAGAUAGAUAUAGAUAAGCCAACCCACAUGAUGGAGAAGUUGUAGUGUGGACCGAGGGUUGCAAUGACCCUUUCGAAAGAGGAAUUCCUAGUAAUGGCUAGUUAGCAUCGACCCCUGAUUCGGGGUCCCUGACCUUUGUACACACCGCCCGUCGCUCCUACGGAUUGAGCUUGCUGAUGAAUUGCAGGGAGGGCUUGCCCGAACUGUGUUAAGUCAACUUGCUUGGACGAAGGAGAAGUCGUAACAAGGUAUUA
rnacentral:rRNA from 1 species